AUGUGCUUGCACAUCGCUGACGAGUGGCGGACGGGUGAGUAAUGCUUGGGAACUUGCCUUUGCGAGGGGGAUAACAGUUGGAAACGACUGCUAAUACCGCAUAAUGUCUACGGACCAAACGGGGCUUCGGCUCCGGCGCAAAGAGAGGCCCAAGUGAGAUUAGCUAGUUGGUAAGGUAACGGCUUACCAAGGCGACGAUCUCUAGCUGUUCUGAGAGGAAGAUCAGCCACACUGGGACUGAGACACGGCCCAGACUCCUACGGGAGGCAGCAGUGAGGAAUAUUGCACAAUGGGGGAAACCCUGAUGCAGCCAUGCCGCGUGUGUGAAGAAGGCCUUCGGGUUGUAAAGCACUUUCAGUUGUGAGGAAAAGUUAGUAGUUAAUACCUGCUAGCCGUGACGUUAACAACAGAAGAAGCACCGGCUAACUCCGUGCCAGCAGCCGCGGUAAUACGGAGGGUGCGAGCGUUAAUCGGAAUUACUGGGCGUAAAGCGCACGCAGGCGGUUUGUUAAGCUAGAUGUGAAAGCCCCGGGCUCAACCUGGGAUGGUCAUUUAGAACUGGCAGACUAGAGUCUUGGAGAGGGGAGUGGAAUUCCAGGUGUAGCGGUGAAAUGCGUAGAUAUCUGGAGGAACAUCAGUG
rnacentral:rRNA from 1 species